rnacentral:tRNA from 1 species
GGGCUGAUGGUCCAACGGGACGACACCGCCCUGGCGUGGCGGCCCCGUUGAGUCGGAGACAGGGCGGGUUCGACUCCCGGUCGGUCCA